rnacentral:rRNA from 1 species
AGUGAACGCUGGCGGUAGGCCUAACACAUGCAAGUCGAACGGCAGCACAGUAAGAGCUUGCUCUUACGGGUGGCGAGUGGCGGACGGGUGAGGAAUACAUCGGAAUCUACUUUUUCGUGGGGGAUAACGUAGGGAAACUUACGCUAAUACCGCAUACGACCUACGGGUGAAGGCAGGGGAUCUUCGGACCUUGCGCGAUUGAAUGAGCCGAUGUCGGAUUAGCUAGUUGGCGGGGUAAAGGCCCACCAAGGCGACGAUCCGUAGCUGGUCUGAGAGGAUGAUCAGCCACACUGGAACUGAGACACGGUCCAGACUCCUACGGGAGGCAGCAGUGGGGAAUAUUGGACAAUGGGCGCAAGCCUGAUCCAGCCAUACCGCGUGGGUGAAGAAGGCCUUCGGGUUGUAAAGCCCUUUUGUUGGGAAAGAAAAGCAGCAGGUUAAUACCCCGCUGUUCUGACGGUACCCAAAAAAUAAGCACCGGCUAACUUCGUG